rnacentral:rRNA from 1 species
UGGGGAAUAUUGCACAAUGGGCGCAAGCCUGAUGCAGCCAUGCCGCGUGUAUGAAGAAGGCCUUCGGGUUGUAAAGUACUUUCAGCGGGGAGGAAGGCGAUAAGGUUAAUAACCUUGUCGAUUGACGUUACCCGCAGAAGAAGCACCGGCUAACUCCGUGCCAGCAGCCGCGGUAAUACGGAGGGUGCAAGCGUUAAUCGGAAUUACUGGGCGUAAAGCGCACGCAGGCGGUCUGUCAAGUCGGAUUUGAAAUCCCCGGGCUCAACCUGGGAACUGCAUUCGAAACUGGCAGGCUAGAGUCUUGUAGAGGGGGGUAGAAUUCCAGGUGUAGCGGUGAAAUGCGUAGAGAUCUGGAGGAAUACCGGUGGCGAAGGCGGCCCCCUGGACAAAGACUGACGCUCAGGUGCGAAAGCGUGGGGAGCAAACA